UCAAUAAUGUUGCAGGGUCUCUUGUGCCUU
rnacentral:piRNA from 1 species